CAAAGACAAAGAAAUUUACUUUUAAUAACCUCAGUCAAUGUUUAACUAACGCAAGACCAAAUUGGGUGAUGACAAGGACUAACUAACAAAAACUCCAUGAUUUUUUUUUUUAUUUACUCUUGUUUAGGCCUGCUCUUAAAUACUAUAUAUACAUGUGUAUAUAUAUGCAUUACAUUUUGAAAAAUUAUGAACACACACAUAUAUAUCAAAAAUAUUAUUUGUGCACCAAAAUCAGUUACUAAAAUUAGCCACUAAUGUAUUUGUGUAUAAAUACAUGUGAUUUAAUUUUUUUUUUCAAUGUGUAUUUAUAUUCCAGCAUGUAUUUUAUACUGGUGACUGACUUUGGUAGUUGAUUUUAGUGUCUAAUUUUAGCGUAUACACAACAUAGUUAUAUAUAUACUCACAAUAGCAUCAUACCUAAAAUUAAAGAUCUAAAAUCUAAUGACAAUAUAUUGUGAGUGGAAUUUUUUUGUAACAAUCGGGUGAAGUUUUGAACUUCAAGUAGAAAAUAAUUUCCAGCUUAAUUAUAGGCAAAUUUAUGUGACCAAUUCAUCUUUUGCCCCAAUUAUAGAGGCUAAUUUGAAGGCAGUGUGUCUACAUCUUAGUUUAUUUGUCACUUUACUCAAUUAAAAUAAGUUGAAAAUAAAGAAUUCCAAGAGCAAAAAUUUCCAAAACCAUCACUCUCUAAAUAGUAAAACUCCUAAACAGAGUAUUAAAGAUAGCGAGUCAAAGUUCAAGGAUCAAGAACUUAAAAAAGAAAGUAGUUAACUAACUACACUGCAACUACUUUUCUGUUUUGCUAAAGUCUGUCUUGAUUAAUCUUGUUGAGAGACUAAGUCAGAGUCGCUGAGCUUUAUAUGGUUGUGUCUCAGUUAUUGCAAGUGUAGUGUUGUAAUACUCCAAUAGCUCAAUACAUCUGUCUUUUUCUCUUUUCGUUCUGAAAAGCUUUCUUUUCUCUAUUUUCUCUGCUGCAACAGUUUCUGGAGUUGCAAGUCGUCUUCUUUGUUUUCCAAUUACAGAGUCCACUAAUUUAAUCCUCCAAAGUCUUUUCCUUCCCCUAGUAACACACACUCAAGUGUUACUAAUUUCUUUCACAUUUUAGGCCAUUGAUGUUUUUUUCUCCUUUCUCAAUGGUGGUGUUUCUUGGAAAAUAUAUAGUAGUUGAUGUUACCAAACUCUCCACUAUUUUACUAAUCUUUUGAUGAAUCAUUUUUGACAUUUUUGGAUAGUCGUCCAACAAGAAAAUAAUUAUAUACAUUAAAAGAAAAAAAAAAACAAUAAGGUAUAGACUUUUAAGUUUCAAGAUCUAACCAACUAGUAACUUAUCUAUAAUGAUGUUUCCUUAUAAGCUGUGAACAUAAGCACCCAAAAAAUUUAGUGCGCUACAUGUUCCAUUCAGAAAUUAAGCAAUGUUCUAACGGUCUAGGGCACAAAAUACACAGAAGCAGUUACACAAAUAGGUUAGAUAAUGGAUUGAUUUCUACAGUAAAUUAACAUGAAGACUGAGAGG